GGUUCGAUGGCGUAGUUGGUUAUCGUAUCUGGCUAACAAACGAAAGGUGGGACUGUUUUGAACAGAAGGUCCCCAGUCCGAGCCUGGGUCAAAUCA